rnacentral:rRNA from 1 species
CGACCGGCGCACGGGUGAGUAACGCGUAUGCAACUUACCUAUCAGGAGGGGAUAACCCGGCGAAAGUCGGACUAAUACCGCAUGAAGCAGGGGCCCCGCAUGGGGAUAUUUGCUAAAGAUUCAUCGCUGAUAGAUAGGCAUGCGUUCCAUUAGGCAGUUGGCGGGGUAACGGCCCACCAAACCGACGAUGGAUAGGGGUUCUGAGAGGAAGGUCCCCCACAUUGGUACUGAGACACGGACCAA